rnacentral:rRNA from 1 species
UAGUCCACGCCGUAAACUAUGGAUACUAGGUGUUUGGGAAGUUAACCUCCUGAGUACUGAAGCUAACGCAUUAAGUAUCCCGCCUGGGGAGUACGGUCGCAAGAUUAAAACUCAAAGGAAUUGACGGGGGCCUGCACAAGCGGUGGAGCAUGUGGCUUAAUUCGACGCAACGCGCAGAACCUUACCAGCUUUUGACAUCCUGGUCGCGGAUUUGGGAGACCAUUUCCUUCAGUUCGGCUGGACCAGUGACAGGUGCUGUAUGGCUGUCGUCAGCUCGUGUCGUGAGAUGUUGGGUUAAGUCCCGCAACGAGCGCAACCCUCAUCCUUAGUUGCCAGCAUUUAGUUGGGCACUCUAAGGAAACUGCCGGUGAUAAGCCGGAGGAAGGUGGGGAUGACGUCAAGUCCUCAUGGCCCUUACAAGCUGGGCUACACACGUGCUACAAUGGCGAUGACAGUGAGCAGCUAACCCGCGAGGGCAAGCUAAUCUCUAAAAGUCGUACU